rnacentral:piRNA from 1 species
GCUGCUAUCCUCAGGGCAAAUGGGUGA